rnacentral:rRNA from 1 species
AGCGAACGCUGGCGGCAGGCCUAACACAUGCAAGUCGAACGAAGUCUUCGGACUUAGUGGCGGACGGGUGAGUAACACGUGGGAACGUGCCUUUAGGUUCGGAAUAACUCAGGGAAACUUGUGCUAAUACCGAAUGUGCCCUUCGGGGGAAAGAUUUAUCGCCUUUAGAGCGGCCCGCGGCUGAUUAGCUAGUUGGUGAGGUAAAGGAUCACCAAGGCGACGAUCAGUAGCUGGUCUGAGAGGAUGAUCAGCCACAUUGGGACUGAGACACGGCCCAAACUCCUACGGGAGGCAGCAGUGGGGAAUUUUGCGCAAUGGGGGAAAGCCUGACGCAGCCAUGCCGCGUGAAUGAUGAAGGUCUUAGGAUUGUAAAAUUCUUUCACCGGGGACGAUAAUGACGGUACCCGGAGAAGAAGCCCCGGCUAACUUCGUGCCAGCCGCCGCCGUAAAAC